GCUGGGCAUGGUGGUGCACGCCUAUAAUCCCAACUACUCAGGAGGCUGAGAUGGGAGAAUCGCUUGAACCCAGGAGAUGCGGGUUGCAGUGAGCCAAGAUUGUGCCACUGAACUCCAGCCUGGGUGACAGAGCGAGACUCCAUCUCAA
ensembl:misc_RNA Metazoa_SRP Metazoan signal recognition particle RNA